rnacentral:rRNA from 1 species
GACGAACGCUGGCGGCGUGCUUAACACAUGCAAGUCGAACGGAAAGGCCCUGCUUUUGUGGGGUGCUCGAGUGGCGAACGGGUGAGUAACACGUGAGUAACCUGCCCUUGACUUUGGGAUAACUUCAGGAAACUGGGGCUAAUAUCGGAUAGGAGCUCCUGCUGCAUGGUGGGGGUUGGAAAGAUUCGGCGGUUGGGGAUGGACUCGCGGCUUAUCAGCUUGUUGGUGGGGUAGUGGCUUACCAAGGCUUUGACGGGUAGCCGGCCUGAGAGGGUGACCGGCGACAUUGGGACUGAGAUACGGACCAGACUCCUACGGGAGGCAGAAGUGGGGAAUAUUGCACAAUGGGCGGAAGCCUGAUGCAGCAACGCCGCGUGCGGGAUGACGGCCUUCGGGGUGUAAACCGCUUUCGCCUGUGACGAAGCGUGAGUGACGGUAAUGGGUAAAGAAGCACCGGCUAACUACGUG